UACGGAGGGGGCUAGCGUUGUUCGGAAUUACUGGGCGUAAAGCGCACGUAGGCGGCUUUGUAAGUCAGAGGUGAAAGCCCGGAGCUCAACUCCGGAAUUGCCUUUGAGACUGCAUCGCUUGAAUCCAGGAGAGGUGAGUGGAAUUCCGAGUGUAGAGGUGAAAUUCGAUAGAUAUUCGGAAGAAACACCAGUGGCGAAGGACGGCCUGCACUGGAGCUGGUAUUGACGCUGAGGUGCGAAAGCGUGGGAGCAAACAGG
rnacentral:rRNA from 1 species